rnacentral:rRNA from 1 species
ACGAACGCUGGCGGCGUGCCUAAUACAUGCAAGUCGAACGCUUCUUUUUCCACCGGAGCUUGCUCCACCGGAAAAAGAGGAGUGGCGAACGGGUGAGUAACACGUGGGUAACCUGCCCAUCAGAAGGGGAUAACACUUGGAAACAGGUGCUAAUACCGUAUAACAAUCGAAACCGCAUGGUUUUGAUUUGAAAGGCGCUUUCGGGUGUCGCUGAUGGAUGGACCCGCGGUGCAUUAGCUAGUUGGUGAGGUAACGGCUCACCAAGGCGACGAUGCAUAGCCGACCUGAGAGGGUGAUCGGCCACAUUGGGACUGAGACACGGCCCAAACUCCUACGGGAGGCAGCAGUAGGGAAUCUUCGGCAAUGGACGAAAGUCUGACCGAGCAACGCCGCGUGAGUGAAGAAGGUUUUCGGAUCGUAAAACUCUGUUGUUAGAGAAGAACAAGGAUGAGAGUAACUGUUCAUCCCUUGACGGUAUCUAACCAGAAAGCCACGGCUAACUACGUGCCAGCAGCCGCGGUAAUACGUAGGUGGCAAGCGUUGUCCGGAUUUAUUGGGCGUAAAGCGAGCGCAGGCGGUUUCUUAAGUCUGAUGUGAAAGCCCCCGGCUCAACCGGGGAGGGUCAUUGGAAACUGGGAGACUUGAGUGCAGAAGAGGAGAGUGGAAUUCCAUGUGUAGCGGUGAAAUGCGUAGAUAUAUGGAGGAACACCAGUGGCGAAGGCGGCUCUCUGGUCUGUAACUGACGCUGAGGCUCGAAAGCGUGGGGAGCAAACAGGAUUAGAUACCCUGGUAGUCCACGCCGUAAACGAUGAGUGCUAAGUGUUGGAGGGUUUCCGCCCUUCAGUGCUGCAGCUAACGCAUUAAGCACUCCGCCUGGGGAGUACGACCGCAAGGUUGAAACUCAAAGGAAUUGACGGGGGCCCGCACAAGCGGUGGAGCAUGUGGUUUAAUUCGAAGCAACGCGAAGAACCUUACCAAGUCUUGACAUCCCUUGACGAUGCUGGAAACAGUAUUUCUCUUCGGAGCAAGGAGACAGGUGGUGCAUGGUUGUCGUCAGCUCGUGUCGUGAGAUGUUGGGUUAAGUCCCGCAACGAGCGCAACCCUUAUUGUUAGUUGCCAUCAUUUAGUUGGGCACUCUAGCAAGACUGCCGGUGACAAACCGGAGGAAGGUGGGGAUGACGUCAAAUCAUCAUGCCCCUUAUGACCUGGGCUACACACGUGCUACAAUGGGAAGUACAACGAGUCGCAAAGUCGCGAGGCUAAGCUAAUCUCUUAAAGCUUCUCUCAGUUCGGAUUGUAGGCUGCAACUCGCCUACAUGAAGCCGGAAUCGCUAGUAAUCGCGGAUCAGCACGCCGCGGUGAAUACGUUCCCGGGCCUUGUACACACCGCCCGUCACACCACGAGAGUUUGUAACACCCGAAGUCGGUGAGGUAACCUUUUGGAGCCAGCCGCCUAAGGUGGGAUAGAUGAUUGGGGUG